GGGGGGAGGCGGGUUUCCAUAUCUGACCGGAAUGUCUGUUUCGCCGAUCUGAUAUAUUGAAUACUUUUUUUCAAACCAGACUGCACCUGCCUAAUGGGUGUGUUGCCAAUUUAUCGACUGGCAUUAAUAAAUUCGUUCUCAUUUCAGACUCAUUCGUAACACUUUUGGUUGAUUUGGAACCCCUUACUUUUCGUGUUUGGGUGAAACUUUUCAA
rnacentral:lncRNA from 1 species